rnacentral:rRNA from 1 species
AUGGGGGCUCUCCACAACCUGACGCUGCAGAACUCCACCAACGGGUGGAUCGCGGAUUCAAGGCUUCUUCUCACAUUACCUCAGACCCAGGAUUCCAUCACCAAGGUGGCGCUGCACCGAUGCAACAGUAGCAGCGAGCUCUACCCCAUCUUCGCCAACAACGCUUCGAGUGACGCUGUCGUUUCCUUCACCGCCACCGUCUCCUGGCUCAUGGAUCUGUGGCAUCGCCGACUCGGCCACCCCGGCGCCCAUACUUUUUCCAAUAAAGGGUUUUCUUCAUGUAAUAAAACUCUGCUUGUGGACCACUUUGUCAUGCCUGCCAGUUGGGCAAGCAUGUUCGUUUGCCUUUUUAUCCAUCACGUAGCUCUACUAGUGCUGCUUUCGAAAUAA